rnacentral:rRNA from 1 species
UACGUAGGGUGCGAGCGUUAAUCGGAAUUACUGGGCGUAAAGCGUGCGCAGGCGGUUUUGUAAGCCAGAUGUGAAAGCCCCGGGCUUAACCUGGGAAUGGCAUUUGGGACUGCAAGGCUUGAGUGCGGCAGAGGAGACUGGAAUUCCCGGUGUAGCAGUGAAAUGCGUAGAGAUCCGGAGGAACCCCAGAGGCGAAGGCGGCGCUCUGGCUCGCAACUGACGCUCAGACACGACAGCAUGGGGAGCGAACGGG